rnacentral:lncRNA from 1 species
GGUAGCAGGGUCGGUCCCCGUGAUCCCUGCCGCAGUGCUGGCAGAUCUUCCCACGUGCUGCCCCUGUAGCCUGAGGAGGGGCCUGGAUGGCGGGUCUGGGCCUUUUACUGGGUUGGACAGGCGCGGUAGGUGCUGGCCUGUGGAGCGGGGCUGAGGGUCGGGAACUCCCCGCUAGUUGAGGGUGGGUGUCGAAGCUCCUUUCU